AGCUAAUAGUUAUGUGGAGGAGGGUGACUUUGCAUCCGGGAUCUUCACAACAGCUAGCCGCAAAGUUCACUCCGUCUCCAAAUUCUUCAUUCACGAACGCUAUGACAGACAAAAACUUCAAAAUGACAUUGCUGUUGUACAAGUCGAAGCGUUUUUUCCGCAGGAAAAAGUGAUUCCUCUGUGUGAAAAAUCGGCAAAAUUUCGGACAUUACUCGGAACCUGUGGGCUUGGCCGAACCUCAAUUGAAGGCAACCGGACUCCGGAAACACUUAUGGAAACGUAUUUCAACGAAAAUUUCUGGUGGCGUUUUGAACGUUGGUUUCUCGGAAAGCAAGAUACUUUGCAGGCAAAACGAAUCCUCGGUGACAAUGCCAUAUGUUUUGGAGAUAGCGGAUCACCCCUGUAUGUAUUGAAUGGAUUGUAUAGGGAGCCGCAAUGUGUUUAUGGAGUGACUAGUUACUUCAGAGGCUACAAGGGCCAAGCUGAUUGCCAGGGAAAGAGCUUUUUUGCCAAUGUUGUGUUUUUUCGCAAGUGGAUAGACGCUGUAAUUUCUCAAUAUUCCGAUGAAUAAUUUUGUCAAUAACCAAUUUUUAAAUCCGUGGAUGAUUGAUCAGGACAAUUAUAAA